rnacentral:rRNA from 1 species
CCGCACAAGCGGUGGAGCAUGUGGUUAAUUCGAUGCAACGCGAAAACCUUACCUACCCUUGACAUGCCACUAACGAAGCAGAGAUGCAUUAGGUGCCCGAAGGAAAGUGGACACAGGUGCUGCAUGGCUGUCGUCAGCUCGUGUCGUGAGAUGUUGGGUUAAGUCCCGCAACGAGCGCAACCCUUGCCGAUAGUUGCUACGAAAGGGCACUCUAUCGGGACUGCCGGUGACAAACCGGAGGAAGGUGGGGAUGACGUCAAGUCCUCAUGGCCCUUAUGGGUAGGGCUUCACACGUCAUACAAUGGUCGGUACAGAGGGCUGCCAACCCGCGAGGGGGAGCCAAUCCCAGAAAACCGAUCGUAGUCCGGAUUGCAGUCUGCAACUCGACUGCAUGAAGUCGGAAUCGCUAGUAAUCGCGGAUCAGCAUGUCGCGGUGAAUACGUUCCCGGGUCUU